rnacentral:rRNA from 1 species
UUGCAGGCUGCAACUCGCCUGCAUGAAGUUGGAAUUGCUAGUAAUCGCGAAUCAGAAUGUCGCGGUGAAUACGUUCCCGGGCCUUGUACACACCGCCCGUCACACCAUGAGAGUCGAUAACACCCGAAGCCUGUGAGCUAACCGUAAGGAGGCAGCAGUCGAAGGUGGGGUUGAUGAUUGGGGUGAAGUCGUAACAAGGUAAC